rnacentral:rRNA from 1 species
AUUGAACGCUGGCGGCAGGCCUAACACAUGCAAGUCGAGCGGAGCGGCGGACGGGCGAGUAAUGCCUAGGUAUCUGCCCGGCAGUGGGGGAUGAGGUCCGGAAACGGGCCCUAAUACCGCACACUUUUAGAUGAGCCUAGGUCGGAUUAGCUAGCUGGUGGGGUAAAGGCCUACCAAGGCGACGAUCCGUAACUGGUCUGAGAGGAUGAUCAGUCACACUGGAACUGAGACACGGUCCAGACUCCUACGGGAGGCAGCAGUGGGGAAUAUUGGACAAUGGGCGAAAGCCUGAUGCAGCCAUGCCGCGUGUGUGAUGAAGGUCUUCGGAUUGUAAAGCACUUUAAGUUGGGAGGCGUUACCAACAGAAUAAGCACCGGCUAACUUCGUGCCAGCAGCCGCGGUAAUAC